rnacentral:rRNA from 1 species
UAACGGCGAGUGAAGCGGCAACAGCUCAAAUUUGAAAUCUGGCGGCCUCUGGGCCGUCCGAGUUGUAAUUUGAAGAGGAUCUUUUGGCGAGGCGCCUUCCGAGUGCCCUGGAACGGGACGCCACAGAGGGUGAGAGCCCCGUAUGGUUGGACGCCGAGCCUCUGUAAAGCUCCUUCGACGAGUCGAGUAGUUUGGGAAUGCUGCUCAAAAUGGGAGGUAAACCCCUUCUAAAGCUAAAUACUGGCCAGAGACCGAUAGCGCACAAGUAGAGUGAUCGAAAGAUGAAAAGCACUUUGAAAAGAGAGUUAAAUAGCACGUGAAAUUGUUGAAAGGGAAGCGCUUGCGACCAGACUUGUGCCCGUCGAAUCAGCCGCCGCUCGCCGGCGGCGCACUUCGGCGGGCUCAGGCCAGCAUCAGUUCGCUGCAGGGGGAGAAAGGCGGCGGGAAUGUGGCUCUUCGGAGUGUUAUAGCCCGCCGCGCAAUACCCCUCGGCGGACUGAGGACCGCGCAUCUGCAAGGAUGCU